rnacentral:rRNA from 1 species
UACGUAGGGUGCGAGCGUUGUCCGGAAUUAUUGGGCGUAAAGGGCUCGUAGGCGGUUUGUCGCGUCGGGAGUGAAACCCGAGGCUCAACCUCGGGCCUGCAUUCGAUACGGGCUGCUAGAGUACUGCAGGGGAGACUGGAAUUCCUGGUGUAGCGGUGAAAUGCGCAGAUAUCAGGAGGAACACCGGUGGCGAAGGCGGGUCUCUGGGCAGUAACUGACGCUGAGGAGCGAAAGCGUGGGGAGCGAACAGG